GGGCCUUUAGCUCAGUCGGUUAGAGCAUCCCUCUGAUAAGGGGAAGGUCUCUGGUUCGAGUCCAGAAAGGCCCACCU
rnacentral:tRNA from 1 species